AAGUCAAGUACACAAAAAAUGCAUACGUCAUUUUUACUUUCGCUUUUAACUUGCAGCCGAGCUAUCGACAAUCAUUCAUUUGAAAGUGAUCAGGCUAUGUGUAAAUAUCUUCAAUGGCAGAAUCGGUAACAGGGUUUAGAUUAGAAAGUAGAGACGAAAAGUGUAUACGAGGUUGGGUUUUGUCAGAGGAAAUCCUUCAGCAAUUCAUUGAACAGUUGAAGUACUUUCAAUCAGCACGGGAUGUCAAUAUGUGUCGUGGUCAAUAUAUACCAGAUACCACACUUGUACAGUUCUGGAGAAUAACAUACUAAUGAGAAGCUGUUGAGAGAAUAUCCAGUUUUAGGCAUGCACAUCUUAAAUCAAUGUCUUAAUGAAGAAGGCCAUAUAUUCCUUGGUCUGUGUUUGGGAACUGGAAUGCCAAUUAAUAGAAGAGGCAGAGAAAAGAUCAGUCAACAAACAGAAAUGUCUAUGAAGAAGGCCAAAAGAAAACAAAACAAUUGAAAUGCAUACAUGUAUUGCAUGCUGGUAUUACUGUAUAAGUACUAAUUAUCUGCAAUCUUAAUGUCACAUUUAAUGCAUUGCUGAUGCAUGUAGUUACAAUAAACAUAACUGGUGUUAUAUUUGAAAUUUAAGAAUUUGUUUAAUUGUUACCAUAUGUGCAAGUUAAAGUGAAUUCUAUUUAACUAUAAAUUUUAAAGAAUUUAAAUGACAAUUAAUCGGUAAUCAUUUCUUAUAUAUUUUUGGGUCACCUGAGUUACUCAGGUGACCUAUUGCUAUCUCUUUUCGUCCGUCGCUGUGCGGCGUGUCAUCCAUCGGUCGUAAACUUUUGAACAUUUUCAGCUUCUUCUCUGGAACCAGUGAACCAAUUUCAACCAAUUUUGGCAUAUAGCAUCUAUGGAUGAAGGGGAACAAAAAUUGUGAAAUUUGUGGCUCCUGCCCCCCUGGGGCCUGAGGGGUGGAGCCAAAACCAUCAAAAUUAAUGCAAUCUUUAUAAAUCUUCUUUACUCCUGGGUAUUAUUUAAACAAAUUAAAUACAUAGUUAUGAUAAGCAAGGUUGCCUCUUCCAAAAUCGUGAAAUUCAUGGCCCCUGGAUCAGGGGUUCUGGUGUUAGGGUGGGGCUCUAUUGAUUAUAAAGUGAAAAUGUUUUAAUUUUUUAAAGAUCUUCUUCUCUACACCUGGGUAUUAUUUAAACAAACUAAGUACAUUGUUAUGAUAAGCAAGGAUGCCUCUUCCAAAAUUGUGAAAUUCAUGGCCCCAGGGACAGGGGUUCUGGUGCUAGGGCGGGGCUAUAUAGAUCCUAUAGUGAAGGUGCAUUAUUUCUUUGAAAAUCUUCUUUUCUGCCCCUGUGUAUUAUUUAAACAAACUAAGUACAUUGUUAUGAUACGCAAGGAUGCCUCUUCCAAAAUUGUGAAUUUCAUGACCCCAGGUUCAAGG